GAUGAAGAACGCAGCGAAAUGCGGUAAGUAAUGUGAAUUGCAGAAUUCAGUGAAUCAUCGAAUCUUUGAACGCACAUUGCGCCCGCCAGUAUUCUGGCGGGCAUGCCUGUCCGAGCGUCAUUUCAACCCUCAAGCCCCCGGGCUUGGUGUUGGAGAUCGGCGAGCCCCCCGGGGCGCGCCGUCUCCCAAAUAUAGUGGCGGUCCCGCUGUAGCUUCCUCUGCGUAGUAGCACACCUCGCACUGGGAAACAGCGUGGCCACGCCGUAAAACCCCCCACUUCUGAAAGGUUGACCUCGGAUCAGGUAGGAAUACCCGCUGAACUUAAGCAUAUCAAUAAGCGGAGGA
rnacentral:misc_RNA from 1 species